rnacentral:rRNA from 1 species
UACGUAGGGUGCGAGCGUUAAUCGGAAUUACUGGGCGUAAAGCGUGCGCAGGCGGUUGGUCGUGUCCUGUGUGAAAGCCCCGGGCUUAACCUGGGAAUGGCAUGGGAGAACUGGCUAGCUGGAGUGUGGCAGAGGGGGGUGGGAAGUUCCGCGUGUAGCAGUGAAAUGCGUAGAUAUCGAGGAGGAAUACCGAUGGCGAAGGCAGGUCUGCUGGGCUGAUACUGACGCUCAUGCACGAAAGCGUGGGGAGCAAACAGG